UGGCGCACGGGUGCGUAACGCGUGGGAAUCUGCCCUAAGGUUCAGAAUAACAGUUAGAAAUGACUGCUAAUACCGGAUAAUGUCUUCGGACCAAAGGUUUACUGCCUUAGGAUGAGCCCGCGUAGGAUUAGCUAGUUGGUGAGGUAAAGGCUCACCAAGGCGACGAUCCUUAGCUGGUCUGAGAGGAUGAUCAGCCACACUGGGACUGAGACACGGCCCAGACUCCUACGGGAGGCAGCAGUGGGGAAUAUUGGACAAUGGGCGAAAGCCUGAUCCAGCAAUGCCGCGUGAGUGACGAAGGCCUUAGGGUUGUAAAGCUCUUUUACCCGGGAUGAUAAUGACAGUACCGGGAGAAUAAGCCCCGGCUAACUCCGUGCCAGCAGCCGCGGUAAUACGGAGGGGGCUAGCGUUGUUCGGAAUUACUGGGCGUAAAGCGCACGUAGGCGGCUUUGUAAGUCAGAGGUGAAAUCCCAGUGCUCAACACUGGAACUGCCUUUGAGAC
rnacentral:rRNA from 1 species